CGGCUUUUCCUUAAGCAUUUGAGCAUUUACUAAAGUGUGAUGACUUUGAAGUGCUGCCAAACCAACUGUGAACUAUGAUGAACAAACACCUCCUGCUGAACAUCCAUAGUGCUUGUCCAACGGUUCAUUUUUUGAUGCCUCAGGAAAGAAGGAAAAGGGAGGCGAAACAGAAAACUACCACUACAUAUGAUGAUAGUUCAGACAACAAAGAAGACGCCUCAAAGAAGGUGAAUUCAGAUAUGUUAAAACUAAUUCUGUAAUUAGGGGAAAAUCUCCCCUUGCCCAAACCGUCGUUUCCGCAACCGACGCCUCCCUUCGAUCUCCUGGAACCGACGCCCCCUCGAGGGAUCGUCGUGUCUCUUCGGGACAUAUAAAAGGGGGCCUGUAACCAUCGAUCAAUGGAUUCGAUCAUUCUGAUUCAAAACACGUUAUCACGCACGUAGAACAGCCAGCGAGAGCAAAAGAAACAUCCGAGAAAGGAGAAGAGAGGGAGCACUCGCCGCCGGUGAGAUGCCUAACCUCGUUUCCUUCUUCCUCCGCCUGAUCCGCGAGGAUGGUCGUCGAUACCGUCGUCGCUACCAUGGAGUGGGUGGACUCCGGCGUUUCCGUCGCCGGAUGCAAGCCAUCAGACAGUUCGGCCGCAGCGCCGCUGGAUGCGCCCGUCGCGGUGCUCACCACGCCCCUGGACACGGUUCCCGUGCUCCUGGACGCGCCCACUGCGGUGCUCCCCGCGCCCGUGGCCAGGAGCCCAUGGGGUACGACCCUUGGCUGGUGGCCGGCCCGAGCGCCCCCAUGAUGCACGGGGCUGCUACCGCGCCUGCCCUGCCCACUGGGUCUCCGCCUCCACCACCUCCUCCGCCGGCCGCAUGGAUCCCGCCGUCAACGCCGACGCCUGAUGCCGUGGCCGCUGGCCCGAGCCUCCGCCCGCCUGGCUACGCCCCGGUGCCGAUGCGCUCGACGGUGAAUGCAGAGGAAGCGCUCGCCUUCAUCUCCGCUCCAUCCGGCGCCUCUGGUGUCAUCCGCCUUGGAGUCGGCAUGGAGGGCGCUGCCGCCGCCGCCGCCGGCACGCCUCAACAGGAGACAGCCGCGGGCUCGAGCAGCCGCGCGGAGCGGCGUUUCGGGCGUGCCGUCGCAGCCCUCGACCGCCGCCCCGGCCGUCGCCCAGGCUCAUGGGCUCCGGCGAACCUCGGCUUCACCGCUACUCCACUGCGCCAGGCCUCCACCGUCGUCGUCUCCUCUUCAGAUGAAGAGGCCUCGUCGGUGUCGCGUCGCUGACAACUGGAGAUGCGAGGGGAGGCGCCGGCACUUGCCCCAAUCGCCGGCGACUGGGCUCCCUGCUCCUUGCAAGCGCUGGUGGUGGUGGGGGAUCGAGCGUGGUGCGGGUCGGGACGGGUCCUUAUCCGUAACCGCCCCACCCCUCGCCUCCUCUUAUGCGGUGUGUGUGGCUGCGGGCUGGCCUCGGUCGGCGGUGGCAGGCCCAGGCCCAGGCGAUCGACCUGCUCCCUUCAAGUUUUUUUUAAUCUCUGUUUUUAUUAGUCUAGUACUAAUUAUUGUAUAUGGUGCAGUUUUAGACCCUGUUUAGUACCUAGUUUGACUGCUACUUACAUACUAGUCCAGUUCUAGAUUAAAUCUGACUAGGACUUGUGUAAUUAUUAGUGUGUUUAUAUUAUGUAAUGGAUUGAUAAUAUAAAUAAAUUACCGGAUUUCAUCUGGGAAGAAUGACAUGUUCCAUGUGUUUACCACAUCUCAUUUUUAUUGAACAUGUCUUUGCGAUUGAGAUCUUCUCUCGCAUAUCAAACUUGCAAAUUUUUGAAUGUUUCUCCCUCAUCUUAUUUGGAAUCACAAGGUAAUGAGUUGUGAUCUACUGCUCAUUUGCAGACUAUCCUCUCUUACUGUGAGGUCUACGCUUUGUCAUUCUCGACAAACGAUUACCUCCAACGUGUAUUCCUUAUAUCUGAAUUGUAGCAUACACAAGGUAAUGGCGAUGUAGCCUAUUACUGUGAGAUCUAAGUGAUCUUCAAAGUGUUAUGUUCACACAAUUGAGGUUGAGAAUUUUUCAAGUUUACACUUGAGUAUCAAAUUUUUGCAUUCUUAUUACACAACCAUGAUGGUUUUUAAUUUACCACCCGUAAAUUAAUUAUCUCUGGUUUCCCAUGUAGGCAAAGAUGACUGCCAAAGAGUUUGAGGAGCUUGCCCUCAAUGGCCACAAUUACCCUACAUGGGCUAUGGACAUCAAGAUCAGUCUUGCGUCCCGUGGGAUAGUGCGUGCAAUACAACCCCCGGAGACUCCUCUCCCGGCUGGGGCCACGCCGCUAACAGAACAGCAGAACUAUGCUGCCUUAUUCAUCAUAAGGCAUCAUAUUCAUCCAGAUCUCAAGUCUGAGUAUUUACAGGAGGAAUCUCCUAGUACUCUGUUUCUGGCCCUCAAAACGAGGUAUGAACAGCAGAAGGCAGUAGUCCUGCCCGAAGCACUCCAUGAUUGGACUCAUCUCCGUCUUCAGGAUUUCAAGUCCAUCGGUGAGUACAAUCAUGUUGUUCAUAAGAUAUGUUCCAAACUGCGCUUUUGUGAGAAGGAACCUACUGAGGGGGACAAGAUAGAGAAAACUUUGUCUACUAUGCUCCCUUCAGAUAGGAUCCUCCAACAACAAUACCAUGCUCGUAACUACACUGUCUAUUCCGAGCUUAUUCACAUGUUACUUCAGGCUGAAAAGCAUGAUGAGCUACUUGCUAAGAAUGGCUCUCAGCGCCCAGUUGGGGCACAACCUUUACCUGAAGUCCAUCUGAAUGUUGCAAAUAGACAAAAGUUUAAUGGUACCCCUCGGGGUAAACAAUCCAAUUUCGAGCAUAAGCGAAAGCGCAAUGGGAACAGGAGAUCUAGAUACCCAGGCAAGGGAAAAGGCACUUCAAAGCCCAGGCUUGAUAAAUCUAAGCUUUGCAACAAGUGUGGAUGCUCCACGCAUUCUACUGAAAAGUGCACAAUGCCCAAGCAUCUGGUUAUGCUGUACCAGCAAUCUCAGGGACGCAAAGCACCUCAAGGGAAAAGGUUUGAAGCCAACUUCAACCUUCAUCCUGAUAACGCAAAAGGAGCUGGUGGUUCGCACGAUGUUCCUCCUGGACCGAGCAACGCCGUGGUUCCUUAUCUGCCUGAGGCUACUGCUGAAAUGGAGAACACGUUGAUUGAGUACACCGCAAACAACGUGUUUGGCGACUUCGACUAGUCCCUCAAUCUCCUAGUGAUCUACUUAAUUAUGUCCAUUUGUGAUGAUUGUAAUAAGAACAUAAGUUUGUUGUUGUCUUUAUAUUGUAUUGUAUCAGCACAUUUGAUAUAAUAAAGAUUGUAUUCUAUAUAUUACUAUGAGGUUUUCUUAUUGAAAAUUCUUUGUUUUAUAUAGUUUUCUACGGGGACAAUCCGAUGGAAGAGGAAUUAUGCCUUGUGGACAAUGGUGCCACAAACUCCAUACUGAGGGAGAUGAAAUAUUUCCAAACUCUGAAAAAGACGAAUGGAGAUAUUCUAACUAUCGCUGGACGCGAUACUGUGAUUGUUGGUACUGGACGUGCCAUAUUCACCCUCCCAAGUGGUACAUAUGUGACCAUUGAGGAUGCUUUACUGUAUCCCGAUUCUGCACGUACCCUGAUCAGUUAUCGAGAUAUCCGUAAAAAUGGUUUUCAUAUUGAAACCCAUGAAGACAACAAAGAGGAGUAUCUACUCUUUACUAAAGAUGACGGAUAUGGCAAAAAGGUACAUGAGAAAAUUCCUUCUCUAUCGUCUGGUUUGUACUAUACGUAUAUCAAACCCGUGGAACAUGUUGCAUACAAAGUAAUUUUUCAGAAUGUUAACGCAUUCCAAACCUGGCAUGAUCGCCUAGGCCAUCCUGGAAUAGGGAUGAUGAGAAAAAUUACUAGCAAUUCCAUUGGUCAUAAUUUGCUUGAGUCAAAAUUUCCUCAAUCUUCUGAUUUUGUGUGCACAUCUUGUGCCACGGGAAAGCUAAUUUUGAGGCCCUCACACUUCAAAAUACAAGCUGAACCACUUCAGUUCCUUGAACGUAUUCAAGGAGACAUUUGUGGUCCCAUUCAGCCAUUAUCUGGACCUUUUCGGUAUUUCAUGGUUCUGAUUGACGCAUCUACACGAUGGUCACAUGUGUGUCUUCUAUCCACACGAAACCAUGCAUUUGCCAAGAUAAUGAGGCAAGUCAUUAAGUUGCAAGCCCAUUAUCCUGAAAGUCGAAUUAAAUCAAUUCGAAUGGACAAUGCUGCAGAAUUCUCCUCACGUGCUUUCAAUGAUUAUUGCAUGGCUUUGGGGAUUGAAGUUCAGCACUCUGUUCCAUAUGUCCAUACACAAAAUGGUUUGGCUGAAGUGUUGAUUAAGAGGAUCAAACUCAUUGCAAGACCUUUGUUGACGAAUUGCAACUUGCCAACCUCUUGUUGGGGUCACGCUGUUUUACACGCUGCUGACUUGAUACAAUUGAGGCCAACUGCAUAUCACAGUUCUUCCCCUCUAGAAUUGGUACGUGGAAAUCCUCCAAGCAUUUCCCAUUUGCGUAAGUUCGGAUGUGCUGCAUACAUCCCGAUCUCACCACCACAGCGGACAUCGAUGGGCCCACACAGGAAGUUGGGGAUCUAUGUGGGGUACAAAUCGCCGUCGAUUAUCAAGUACCUGGAACCCCUGACUGGGGAUCUGUUCACAGCCCGUCACGCUGAUUGCAUAUUUAAUGAGGAACAUUUUCCGGCAUUAGGGGGAGAUUUCAAGUACCAGAAAGAAUGCCCGAAAAUUGAUUGGAAUGCUCAUGCCAUUUCAUCCUCUGAUCCACGUACCCAAGAGACCGAACUUCAAGUUCAGAAGAUCAUUAAUUUGCAACAUCUUGCAAAUAAUCUGCCAGAUUCAUUUACUGAUUUGAAAGGUGUUACAAAAUCCUUAAACCUGGCCAGAAACGCGCCAGAAAGAGUGGAGGUACCAAUAAAAACCACUCAACUCCCUAUUCCUAAAAAGAGGGGGAGUAGUACGGCCUCUGACCCGGAGCAUGCUUCUAGCAAGCAGCAAAGGAAAUCAAGGAGAAAAACCUCAGAGUCAGUAAAUGCAGGUCAACUCAACAUUGACAAACACCUGAUGGGUAGUAUACACCCAGUGGAAGGGCAACCUCCACAACCCAGUUCCAGUAUGCACAAACUGACUGGGACAUCGGAACACCCAGACUCGAUCGUAUUGGGAAAUCACGAAGAGUCACUAGGGGUGCAGGAAAUUUCCAUCAACUAUGUUGAUUCUGGAGAAUCAUUUGACCGUAAGACUACGACUGUCGACAUAUAUUUUGAUGAAAAGAUUGCAGAUACCCUUCUCACUGAUCAUGAUCCAAGGUCUAUCAUUGAGUGCCAAAAGCGCUCCGACUGGCCUAAAUGGAAGGAUGCAAUCCAAGCAGAAAUUGCCUCGCUUAACAAAAGAAAGGUAUUCACUGAAGCAAUACCUACACCUCCCAGUGUUUUCCCCGUGGGAUUCAAAUGGGUUUUUCUCCGGAAACGGAAUGAGAACAAUGAGGUGGUGAGAUAUAAAGCAAGGCUCGUAGCACAAGGUUUCAUGCAAAAACCCGGCAUUGAUUUCACUGAAACAUAUUCUCCAGUAAUGAGUGCAACCACUUUCCGAUAUCUUAUAUCCUUGGCAGUGCAAAAUCGUCUAUCUAUGCAGUUGAUGGACGUCGUGACCGCAUACCUUUACAGGUCACUAGAUUCAGACAUAUAUAUGAAGGUUCCUGAUGGAAUCUCUGUCCCGAAUAAAAAUGCAGAACGCAACAUGUAUUGUGUAAAGCUGAAUAAGUCAUUAUAUGGCUUAAGACAGUCGGGACGGAUGUGGUACAACCGACUCAGUGAGUUCCUUCUUCAAAAAGGUUACUCCAAUAGUGCUGAUUGCCCAUGUGUUUUCAUCAAGAAGUCCUCUACAGGAUUUUGCAACAUUUCUGUGUAUGUUGACGAUCUCAACAUCAUCGGCAGCACACCAGACAUUGAUGAAGCACGCAAUCACCUAAAGAUGGAAUUUGAGAUGAAGGAUUUGGGUAAAACCAAAUUUUGCUUAGGUAUUCAACUUGAGCAUCUUCCCUCAGGAAUCAUGGUACACCAAUCUGCCUGCCUAUAUCCAGAAAAUAUUGGAGAAAUUCAAUAUGGACAAGUCCUAUCCAUCUAAAACUCCCAUGGUGGUUCGAUCUCUAGACAUAGAGAAAGAUCCGUUCAGAGGUGUUGGGACCUGAAGUUCCAUACCUUAGUGUUGUUGGAGCGCUUAUGUAUCUUGCAAAUUGCACAAGACCUGAUAUUGCAUUUGCAGUGAAUCUACUUGCUAGACAUAACGCAGCUCCCACCAAACGUCAUUGGUCUGGAGUGAAGAAUAUUUUUCGAUAUCUCCAAGGCACAAAGGAUCUUGGCCUAUUUUUCCAGUUCCAGAAAAAUCAGGACUCUGAUAUGAUUGGAUAUGCAGAUGCCGGUUAUCUGUCUGAUCCCCAUAAUGCCAGAUCUCAGAACGGCUUCGUGUUCCUACAUGAUGGCACUCCUAUAUCAUGGAAGUCUUCGAAACAGACUCUGGUGGCAACAUCUACCAAUCAUUCUGAAAUAAUUUCAUUAUUUGAAGCAACAUGCGAAUGUGUAUGGCUUCGCAGAAUGAUAACCAACAUACAACGGUCAUGUGGAAUGGGUUCGAUAAAAUCACCUACCAUUAUCUAUGAAGAUAAUGCGGCCUGUGUUGCGCAGAUGCAAACAGGAUACAUCAAGAGUAAUAUCACCAAGCAUAUUUCUCCUAAAUGGUUUUUCCCCCAUAAUCUUCAGAAAAGCGGGGAAAUAAGCAUUCUGCAAGUCAAAUCAUGCGACAACCUUGCUGAUUUAUUUACCAAGUCUCUACCAAAUUCUACAUUCCAGAAAUGUGUUCAUGGAAUUGGUAUGCGAAGACUUAGGGACUUGCAGGUGUCAGGGGGAGUCUCUUCUUGAGAUAUCCUCAUUUUAAUGACAUCACAUUAUGCUAUCUUUCUUUGUGAGUAUAUGUUUAAGGAUCUCAUCAAAGAUUUUAUGAAGAACUUUUGAAGGAGAAUCUUUUGAGAUGAUAGAGCUUCCCGAACAAUCGUGAAGAUGAUCUACAUGGUCAAGCGUAGAUUAGGGGGAGUGUUAAAACUAAUUCUAUAAUUAGGGGAAAAUCUCCCCUUGCCCAAACUGUCGUUUCCGCAACCGACGCCUCCCUUCGAUCUCCUGGAACCGACGCCCCCUCGAGGGAUCGUCGUGUCUCUUCGGGACAUAUAAAAGGGGGCCUGUAACCAUCGAUCAAUGGAUUCGAUCAUUCUGAUUCAAAACAAGAUAGCAAAGAGGGCAGUUCAGAAAGCAAAG
rnacentral:lncRNA from 1 species